UAUACACAACCAUGUCGGGGAAAUAACACACAGGAAAUUGCCUUCUGAACAAUACAAAAAAAACCAAAUUUAGUUUUAAGCAUAAAGUGUUAAAUAACAUUUUUGAAAAACACUUUCUUAAUAAACAAAACCCAACAAACAAAUAAACAUAAAACGAGAUUGGACAAAACACGUGGUUAACAAUAGACUUGCUGACUGAAUGAUAUUGAUAUUUUCUUCUGGCUCGAGAACGUAGACUUCAAAUUCCCUGUUAAACACUUAAACCGAAUGGCAAACAAGUUGAAUGGAGGAUCAACCGUAUCUUGCAGUGCAGUUCAGUUCUCAAUCAAUUAUCGACUGGACAAAUGAUGGCAAGCACUUGAAAGUUCAAAAAACAGAUGUCCAACAAGGAGAAUACUGGAGUCAACUACUGAGCUGCACCACUAAAACUUAAGCCAUCCCACCCUCCACAAUUCUGUAGGAUCUUGUCCCUGCUCUUCGUGUCCGGCACAAUUAUUUGUAAACACAAAGACACUUACAAAAAUACACUUGGCAAAAAAGAAAACUUGUCUAUGGUCUUCAUUUAAAAUCCGGGAUAUACCGGGAAUACACUUGAAAUUAGUCUUUCGACUUAAAAAUCAUAAUUUAAAUACAAAAUGGGAAGUAAAUUUCUAGCGCAACACAAACUAAUUGUGCAUACCCAGCUUAUUUCCAGAUACCCACUAUAAUAAUCACAACAACUAGCUGCAAUUAAGAGUAAGUCG